rnacentral:pre_miRNA from 1 species
GUUGAGGGGAAUGUUGGCUGGCUCGAGGCUUUAAAGAAACAACUUUGCUGUGAGGCUUCGGACCAGGCUUCAUUCCCCUCAAA